rnacentral:tRNA from 1 species
ACCGUGUAAGUUGGAGGCAAGCUAGCGGUUGGGUAACCUGCGGACUGAUCACCUCAGUAAUCCCAUAAUCAGCUGCACCAUAAGCACCCACACGAAAUGCUGGAUUCAAUAAAGAAGACGAUUAGAAGCAGCGCCCGAGUUCGGGUAUGUAGCUCAGUUGGUUAAUUGGCACCCUAGAUAAGGGUGAGGGAGGCAGUUCGAAUUAAGGCAGACCCACCAGUUUAGUGGUGAGAUAGAUGGUCAGAGUAGACGCGUGCACGGUAUGUAGAAAUACGGGGCCAUAGCUCAGCUGGGAGAGCGCCUGCCUUGCACGCAGGAGGUCAGCGGUUCGAUCCCGCUUGGCUCCACCACUUACUGCUUCUGUUUGAAAGCUUAGAAAUGAGCAUUCCACCCUGCAAAACAAAGGGUGCGUGAAUGUUGAUUUCUAGUCUUUGAUUAGAUCGUUCUUUAAAAAUUUGGGUAUGUGAUAGAAAGAAAUAUAGACCGGGCACCUCUUUCACUGGUGUGUGUCCGGGCUAAGGUAAAGUUUGUGAAAUGCAAACUUUCGGCGAAUGUCGUCUUCACAGUAUAACCAGAUGCUGGGGUUAUAUUCAAGAAGCCC